UCCGAGUUGACCCCGGCAGUCUCCCAUGAGUCCCCGGCAUAACCCGCUGGCAACAUGGGACAAGGGUUGCGCUCGUUGCGGGACUUAACCCAACAUCUCACGACACGAGCUGACGACAACCAUGCACCACCUGUGCACCGACCUUACGGGGCACCUAUCUCUAGGUGUUUCCGGUGCAUGUCAAGCCUUGGUAAGGUUCUUCGCGUUGCAUCGAAUUAAUCCGCAUGCUCCGCCGCUUGUGCGGGCCCCCGUCAAUUCCUUUGAGUUUUAGCCUUGCGGCCGUACUCCCCAGGCGGGGCACUUAAUGCGUUAGCUGCGGCACGGAACUCGUGGAAUGAGCCCCACACCUAGUGCCCAACGUUUACGGCAUGGACUAC
rnacentral:misc_RNA from 1 species